GAAAUGAGUAUUUAUAUUUGUAUUGUUGCAACUUAUUGUGUUGAAGCAGAUCUGGGAAAAUCAAAUUAUUAAAAUUGCGGAGAAUAUUUGUAAUCCAAAGCAGGAGGUAAAUACGACACAUGUUUCUAGGCUUUGUUCUUUAAUUCUUGUGAAAGCUAAUGAUGCAAUGAUAGGUUGCAUCACAUAAUCCCUCCAAGGAAGAGUGAGAAAAUGACUGUUAUCCUGAAAAGUUACUACUUUCAUUAUGAACUAACUUUUGAGGUUUUUUUGGAACUCUUCUAUUCAGUGUGCUGAACAAGACUCUGAAAUACCAUGCGAUUUUAAAUGCAAAAUUUGUUCACAGGUAACCAAUAGCUGAAUGUUCGAUUGCUUCUGUUCAUGGUCUGGUCGGCUACCUAUAAUGUGUUGGAAUUUUGUAUCGUAAUAUCCCCCAACAUAAUGAUCUUUCUGUUACAAGUGCUCGACUUUUGAUUUGUUUUGUUUUUUUGUGCUUAUAUAUAUGGUUUCUUUCAGUUGGAGAACAAACUAAUCAGCAUUUCUACUAUAUUUUUAUUGGAUUCUUCUGAGUUCCUGACUUCUAGAUAUCUAUCUUUUGUCAUUUUCAUUAUUCCUUAUGCCAGUUUCGGACAGUUUUGGCACUGAAUAAAUGAAAUUCUGCAACUAAAUGUCAACUCUGGAAUUUUGCAGGUGUUGCUCCGUUCUGAUGUUACUGAUAUUGUAGGAUACCUUUAUGAAGGAAAGCAGGAUAUUGAUUCUUUCCAAGAGCUUAUCUGUAAGGUGAUUGCUUUGACUGACGUGUGUAUGUUAAUCAAAUCCCUUGAAUUGAAAUUGAAUCGGAAUCGACGAUUAUGUCUGAUUUUAAAAAAAAAAAAAAAAAAUUAAGAAUCAGACCAGAAUUGUAGAUAAAUCGAUUUUUAUAUAAUUUUUUAUUUUUUAUAAUUUAUAGAAUAGCUAAUAAAUAUACAAAAAAAAAAAAACCCUCUAAUUUGAAUAUUAAUUUGUCUAAAACUCUAUAUUUUAACCAUAAGAAAUCAAGAUUGAUUCAUACUUUUUGGCCUUUCGCUUUACAUCGACUUGUUGCAUUUCAGAUGUUAGUAGAUGUUAAUCUUUACAAUUUGAGCUUUCUAUGAAUCACAGAAUUCAAACUACAUUGUGGUGUUAAUUGAUGAAAAUCAAAGUGUUCAUUCUUUGCAAUUAGAAAUUUCUUCAUUUUUUGGCAUUGUUUAUAAUCUUAAGUGAAUUUUUUAUUUUUUAUUUUUUUAUAACGCAUAGCAAUUGAACUUGAUAUAUUCAUAGCUUGUGUUAUAGUGCACCUUUUUUAUUAUUUCGAUUUUGUGUGCAAUUUGAAAUAUAAUUAUUAUUUUUUUAUUUCUUAUUCAAAUGGAGAGAGUUCAAUAUGUGGACUGCAAUUUUUUGAACUAUAUGAUCUAAUUAAUAUUUUUUAAGUAGAAGAAUUUAGGCAUUGUCCAUAAUUAAAAUAUACAUUCUAGCAUGCCUCUCUUAUGGAUCGAAUAAGAUUUAUCGAGAAAAAAUCAAUUCUUCUUAAAUUGUAAUUUAAUUUUUGAUGUUUUCGUUAUUUUCCUCUUUUAGUGAUUUUUAGUCUUCGCUAUUUUGAACCAUUUAGUUGAAUUUAUUAGCUUCUUGACAAUUUCUUAGCUGGAUUCUCUCAUUUACAUGAAAAAUUUCUAGGUCCAUGUAACAUAGAUUAGAUGGCUAACGUUAACCACCCCUCACAAUGGCAAAUAAAUCAAGUGUUAUUCAUUAUACAAAUAUCAAUACGGUCUUAUGGUAUUCUCCAUCCAGCUGAUUCCUGAGUGGACGACAAAGUUGCCUUUAAUUCCAUUCAAAUUUGAAUUUAUUGUUUUAUUUAGCAAUUUGUUUAUAGAAUUUUUUUCCGGGAAGCUUUAACCUUGCAUAAAUUUUUAUCUAAGGAGGAUGAUUCUAAACAAAGUGUCAAGACAGGAGCAGCAGUGGAUGCAGCCCAGAAAUCCAAAAAAAAAAAACAAUGGUGGAAUUUUUCCAUCGUUAAUAUUCUCUCGUUUUUGAAGAACACGAGAUCGACGUCCAAUAAACACAAGCACUAAGGCCAAGAUUCGCGAUAGCAACAGCAGUUCCUACUCUUCUUCAGUUUCGCUCAGUUUCCAUGUGUGUACUUCUUUGCAUCACUUUGGUAUUUCUUGUUUAAAAUGAAAUAAAAUCUUGGGCUCUUCUUGUUGUUUAAAUUAACGUGAUUUGUGCAAUAUACUAUCAAUUAUAAGCAUAAAUCAAAUAAAGUAAAUAUAAGAAUAGAGUUAGAAAAGAUGGCUUAAGAGAG
rnacentral:lncRNA from 1 species